rnacentral:rRNA from 1 species
UACGAAGGGGGCUAGCGUUGCUCGGAUUGACUGGGCGUAAAGGGCGUGUAGGCGGUUUUGUAAGUCAGAUGUGAAAUCCCCGGGCUUAACCUGGGAGCUGCAUUUGAGACGUUAAGACUAGAGUGUGAGAGAGGGUUGUGGAAUUCCAAGUGUAGAGGUGAAAUUCGUAGAUAUUGGGAAGAACACCGGUGGCGAAGGCGGCAACCUGGCUCAGUACUGACGCUGAGGCGCGAAAGCGUGGGGAGCAAACAGG